rnacentral:lncRNA from 1 species
CAUUGAAAAUUAUUGUCUCAAUAACUAGCCAUUACAAAAAUAAUUUGCCGUAAUGGAAAGGCAAGGAAAACUUGAUAGAAUGCAUGCAUAUGGUUUGAAGCAGAGGCAGUUGUUCCAUCUUGUUCGAAAAAAGAUGGAUGGUUAUUUUGGUCAACUUGUGUUCAUGCAAUGAAAGCUACCUAUAAUAAUUUUUCAAUCAUUGACUCAUGCAACAAACUUAGACUUAAAAGAGUUAAAGUAACUGGAGGUCAUUAAAUUUUAAAAUAAAGAAGUAUGUGCAGGAUUUAAUUUCACAACUAAAGAGGACUCCGAAGAAGAAUUAAAGUUCUGGUGGAUCAAAGAUCGAGGAAUGAUUUGGUUUUAACUGGUUUGCAUCUUAUGAACGAAAUUCUGUAUCUCAAUGAUAUCCUGGCUUAUUGAUACGAUAUCCUGUAAAUCCAAUCACACACAUAAAUUUUACACACA